rnacentral:rRNA from 1 species
UACGGGGGGAGCAAGCGUUGUUCGGAUUUACUGGGCGUAAAGGGCGCGUAGGCGGCGUAACAAGUCACUUGUGAAAUCUCCGGGCUUAACUCGGAGCGGUCAAGUGAUACUGUUGUGCUAGAGUGCGGAAGGGGCUACUGGAAUUCUCGGUGUAGCGGUGAAAUGCGUAGAUAUCGAGAGGAACACCUGCGGCGAAGGCGGGUAGCUGGGCCGACACUGACGCUGAGGAGCGAAAGCGUGGGGAGCGAACAGG